rnacentral:rRNA from 1 species
AUACAGAGGGUGCGAGCGUUAAUCGGAAUUACUGGGCGUAAAGCGCGCGUAGGCGGCUUGGUCAGUCGGAUGUGAAAGCCCUGGGCUCAACCUGGGAAUUGCAUUCGAUACUGCUAGGCUAGAGUAUGGGAGAGGGAAGUGGAAUUUCCGGUGUAGCGGUGAAAUGCGUAGAUAUCGGAAAGAACACCAGUGGCGAAGGCGACUUCCUGGCUCAAUACUGACGCUGAGGUGCGAAAGCGUGGGGAGCGAACAGGAUUAGAAACCCCGGUAGUCC